CAAGGAAUAGUUUAACUAGAAUGUCAGCUUUGGGUGUUGACGGUGGAGUAUUGUUCUUCUUCCUUGA
ensembl:Mt_tRNA